rnacentral:lncRNA from 1 species
CUUGGGUGUCUGCAGGGAUGGACGCCCACCACAUCUCUGGGCAGCCUGUGCCAGUACCUCACUGCCCUUAUUGUAAAGAGCUUCUUCCUUACAUCCAAUCUAAAUCUCCCCUCUUUUAGUUUGAAAUCUUUUCCCCUUGUCCUAUCACCACAGACCCUGCUAAGGACUCUGUCCCUUUCUUUCUUACAGCCACCUUCACAUACUGAAGGCCGCUCUCCCAUCUCCCCAGAGCCUUCUCUUCUCCAGGCUGCACAGCCCCAGCUCUCAGCCUAUCCUCAUAGGAGAGGUGUUCCACCCCUCAGAUCAUUUCUGCGGCCCUCCUCUGGACGUGCUCCAACAGCUCCAUGUCUCUCCUGCACUGAGCACUCCCCAUACGGACGUAGUGCUCCAGGUGAGGCCUUACCAAUGCAGAGCAGAGGGGCAGGAUCCCCUCUUCACCCUGCUAGCCACACUGCUUUGGAUGCAGCCCAGGAUACAUUUGGCCUUACGGGUUGUGAGGGCACAUUGCUGGCUCAUGUCCAGCUUCCCACUCACCAGUACCCCCAAGUCCUUUUUCCGCAGGGCUGUGCUUAUCCUCAUCCUCUUAUCUUCACCCUCUGCCCUCUGUAUGGGGAAAGCAGUUCCUUUUCACCAUAUGUUAUUUGUAUUGUCACUCAUUUGGGAUCAGAAUUGCCUUUUGCAAAGCUCCUUUCUGUCAGUUUAGGGUGUGACUUCCAAAAGAUAAGCACCUCUUCAGUUGCCAAGAUGGUUCUUGAGGGAAAUAGUAGAAAUUUGUUUUCUUCAAACCUCUAAAACUAGACUGAAGAGCACAUUAAGAUGAGCCAUGGGCUGGUGGGUGGAAUAGCUAAAAAUGACUGUUCUGUUUUUGAGCAUACAGCUUUUCAAACUUCAUAUACUGACGAAUCGUACAAGGUUUGGCUGCCAGCAGCUGGUAAGGUCACCUGCAGUAAACAGCAUCUCUCCAUCCUCUAAGAAUGCUAGAAGUAAGCAGAGUUUGACUUGUGACUAUUUGCCCAACACUAUCCUAUGAAAGAAAUCCAUACAAUUUAAAUCCUGGGAGAAGGCAAUGAUUCUGCAACACGUUAAGCACAUUCUCAUGACAUGGAGGGGUGGACUGGGUCUGUUUAGUGGAGCAAUCACCUAAAGGCUUUGUUCUGCUUUUUGGCCAACC